AACUUUCAAAGAAAUUUAUGUGUAACAUAUGAAAGUGCAAAAACUGAAGGUGUUCGAAUUGAGUAGAAAUUGGAUUUAUAAGGCGUAUUUGUUAUGCAACUUAUAAUCGCUUGCAACGUAUAGUCUAAUACGACUUCUUAUUCGACGCCCGACAAAAACUUUCUUCACUCUAAUUUCUUCAAAUAACUCACCUAAAAUUAGAUGCUCGCCGGUUUUGUUUAGCGUUUACAUCAAUUCCUGUAUUCUCUGAUGGGAGAAAACUGCUGCCUGCUGCCUGCUGCAGCCGUUGAUACUUCCGGGUCGGAAUCCGCUUUCGUUAUUGGAAGGGCACAAUUACAAUGAUGCUAUGAAUAAGUAUAUUGGUGGAGCGUCAGAAGAUCAGGACGUUGUAGCAGAGAAAGAUCUGGAUCAUUUUCUGCAACUUCAAGAUGGGUGCACCCUCUCGAGCUUUUCAAAGGCGAGACAAACCUAGGUGUGUAGACCUGUACUUUACAAGUUGGGUUGUUAAGCCUGGUAAGUGGUGCCAUUUCUAGUGGAUGUACAAAACGAUAAAUCAACUUUGCCAAUUGUCUAGGACACCAUAGCUUAAGAUCUACUUAAAGUGUGCACUUGUAAGGAAUCAAAGAAAGGGGAUGGACACCUAUCUGCAUGUGAGAUCACACUAGUUCAGUAUGAAGAUUUGGGCAUGUUAGGAGUUCGUCAGGGGCUCUGUGGUACUGUCAAGAAGUUGCACAAUGGCCUCCGAGCAUAUCAGAACGCGAGGAAGUCAGAGGCAGCGGUUUCCAGGUGUGCAAUGAUGGCAAGAAUCACUGCAAAAAUAUCAUCUGAUGUAGGUACUGGUACUUUGGAGCGAGUCUCUGGUGAAGAAGAGAAACGUGAGACUAACGAUAUCCAGGGUCAGAGAGGAGGUGGUGGCAUCAAGUGGAAAUACGGGAAGUAUUCCUACGCUGUUGAUUUGAGCUUUGACCACGUUCCAUUUCUUAAGUGUUCCUUCUUUGGGUUAGCUUCCGAGGGAACAAGUUUUCUGUUUCACUAACUCCACGGGGAUUAAUUUCAUCACAGUUUCAAAUGGACAAACAAUUAUUUUACACGGAGAGUGUUUUUGUUGUUGUUAGUAGUGUGAAUUUCGUGUUCUCAAUUUGGAUAGUUAUGGUUUCUAACUUAUGUAUUAGAUCAUUUUGACAAGCAGCACAGAGAUCAAAUUGUUCACUUCUCUUGACUAGAACAUUUCCAUGUGUAGACUGCAUCUUAUGUUCAUAUCAACAUUUUGAUAUGAAAAUCUAAAGUUGGGUUGACUAAAAUUGUCUUGAA